UAGGGAAUCUUCCACAAUGGACGCAAGUCUGAUGGAGCAACGCCGCGUGAGUGAAGAAGGCUUUCGGGUCGUAAAACUCUGUUGUUGGAGAAGAAUGGUCGGCAGAGUAACUGUUGUCGGCGUGACGGUAUCCAACCAGAAAGCCACGGCUAACUACGUGCCAGCAGCCGCGGUAAUACGUAGGUGGCAAGCGUUAUCCGGAUUUAUUGGGCGUAAAGCGAGCGCAGGCGGUUUUUUAAGUCUGAUGUGAAAGCCCUCGGCUUAACCGAGGAAGCGCAUCGGAAACUGGGAAACUUGAGUGCAGAAGAGGACAGUGGAACUCCAUGUGUAGCGGUGAAAUGCGUAGAUAUAUGGAAGAACACCAGUGGCGAAGGCGGCUGUCUGGUCUGUAACUGACGCUGAGGCUCGAAAGCAUGGGUAGCGAACAGGAUUAGAUACCCUGGUAGUCCAUGCCGUAAAACGAUGAAUGCUAGGUGUUGGAGGGUUUCCGCCCUUCAGUGCCGCAGCUAACGCAUUAAGCAUUCCGCCUGGGGAGUACGACCGCAAGGUUGAAAC
rnacentral:rRNA from 1 species